AUUGAACGCUGGCGGCAGGCCUAACACAUGCAAGUCGAACGGUAACAGGAAGAAGCUUGCUUCUUUGCUGACGAGUGGCGGACGGGCGAGUAAUGUCUGGGAAACUGCCUGAUGGAGGGGGAUAACUACUGGAAACGGUAGCUAAUACCGCAUAACGUCGCAAGACCAAAGAGGGGGACCUUCGGGCCUCUUGCCAUCGGAUGUGCCCAGAUGGGAUUAGCUAGUAGGUGGGGUAACGGCUCACCUAGGCGGCGAUCCCUAGCUGGUCUGAGAGGAUGAUCAGCCACACUGGAACUGAGACACGGUCCAGACUCCUACGGGAGGCAGCAGUGGGGAAUAUUGCACAAUGGGCGCAAGCCUGAUGCAGCCAUGCCGCGUGUAUGAAGAAGGCCUUCGGGUUGUAAAGUACUUUCAGCGGGGAGGAAGGGAGUAAAGUUAAUACCUUUACUCAUUGACGUUACCCGCAGAAGAAGCACCGGCUAACUCCGUG
rnacentral:rRNA from 1 species